GACGAACGCUGGCGGCGUGCUUAACACAUGCAAGUCGAACGGAAAGGCCCUGCUUUUGUGGGGUGCUCGAGUGGCGAACGGGUGAGUAACACGUGAGUAACCUGCCCUUGACUUUGGGAUAACUUCAGGAAACUGGGGCUAAUACCGGAUAGGAGCUCCUGCUGCAUGGUGGGGGUUGGAAAGUUUCGGCGGUUGGGGAUGGACUCGCGGCUUAUCAGCUUGUUGGUGGGGUAGUGGCUUACCAAGGCUUUGACGGGUAGCCGGCCUGAGAGGGUGACCGGCCACAUUGGGACUGAGAUACGGCCCAGACUCCUACGGGAGGCAGCAGUGGGGAAUAUUGCACAAUGGGCGGAAGCGUGAUGCAGCAACGCCGCGUGCGGGAUGACGGCCUUCGGGUUGUAAACCGCUUUCGCCUGUGACGAAGAGUGAGUGACGGUAAUGGGUAAAGAAGCACCGGCUAACUACGUG
rnacentral:rRNA from 1 species